rnacentral:lncRNA from 1 species
UUUUAUAUAAUAGGUAAAGAGUAAAAGCUAUAUAAAAAUGGAAUAAAUAACUCACGAAAAAGAUAUGUAAAAGGAACAAAUUACUGCCAACUUUCUUUUCCUGCCUUAGCUUAUGUACCAAAAAAACAAAUUCCUGUCAAUAUGUUUGAAUGAAGGUUCAGAUCCAGAGCCCCAUCAAAAUUAAUCAUCCAUGAAAAAUCUAGCUCCUAUGUUUUUUUUGACAUAACUCCUAUUCGUUUAUUUGUACAAGAAAAUGACCAUCCUUGCAGAAUUUUAUUGGCCAACUAUUUUUGGAUGUAUGCAAAAUGAACCUAAAUAUAAAUAGUGGCAUACAAUUUAAAAGAAAAAGAGGGUUGGAGAAUAGCAGAAAUAAGAAUAAUAUACAGAAGGUGCAAGUCAUUUUUCUUCCAAGCGCCGCAGCACUGACUCGGCAAAGUUCUGUUGCCUACAAAUGAGUUAUAGCCAAUAUAUUCAACAACAUGACACAUACGAAUUAACUAAAGAAACUAACACAUGACAGUAGAAUGUAAAUUUCUAAGAAACAGCAUUAGAUGCAUAUUGCAGCAUAAACAUUUAUUUAUUGAAUAUGUUACUAUAAUAUACAGAAGGUGCAAGUCAGAAAUAAGAAUAAUAUACAGAAGGUGCAAGUCAUUUUUCUUCCAAGCGCCGCAGCACUGACUCGGCAAAGUUCUGUUGCCUACAAAUGAGUUAUAGCCAAUAUAUUCAACAACAU